AAGGGCCUAUAGCUCAGUUGGUUAGAGCACACGCCUGAUAAGCGUGAGGUCGGUGGUUCAAGUCCAUUUAGGCC
rnacentral:tRNA from 1 species